CUACGGGUGGCACCAGUGGGGAAUAUUGGACAAUGGGGGAAACCCUGAUCCAGCAAUGCCGCGUGUGUGAAGAAGGCCUGCGGGUUGUAAAGCACUUUCGGUUGGGAGGACUGCUUCUAGCACUAAUAUUGUUGGAAGUUGACGUUACCUUCAGAAGAAGCACCGGCUAACUCCGUGCCAGCAGGCCGCGGUAAUACGGAGGGUGCAGCGUUAAUCGGAAUUACUGGGCGUAAAGCGCGCGUAGGCGGCUAGAUCAGUCGGGUGUGAAAGCCCCGGGCUUAACCUGGGAACUGCAUCCGAUACUGUCUAGCUUGAGUACAGGAGAGGAGAGUGGAAUUCCACAUGUAGCGGUGAAAUGCGUAGAUAUGUGGAGGAACACCAAUGGCGAAGGCAGCUCUCUGGCCUGAUACUGACGCUGAGGUGCGAAAGCGUGGGGAGCAAACAGGAUUAGAUACCCGCGUAGUC
rnacentral:rRNA from 1 species